UCAAAUAUCUAGUAAAUUUGCAAUUCAAGCCAGAGAACAUCAAGAAGAUCAGUUCAAUCAGUGACUACCCUAAAGCUUUUGAGAAGGGAGAAAUUUCUGCUGCUUUCGUUGUAGCUCCACAUGCCAAAGUUUUCCUUGCCAAGUACUGCAGAGGUUACACCAAAUCAGGACCUGUCUUUAAACUUGGUGGUUUUGGUUUUGUAAGAUCAAGAAUUCAUCUUUUUAACUUUUCAAUCUGCCUAUCUCCAUCUUCACAGAUUAAUUUCACAUAUGCUCACUGAACUUUGCUCAGUAUAACAGUAAAUUUACAACUUUUGUCAUUUUAUGAACUUUACCUACUAUAACAACAAAGUCAUUAAUCAAUUUUCUGUCACGGAGUAACAAAACUUCACCCACUAUAACAUUGAAGUCAUUGAACUUUACAGAAAGUCCCUAGACGGAUAGAUUUUAAAGUUUCAAUGGAUAAUGUUUAGUAAUUAUAAUGUUAUAGUGGGUUGAAUUCAGUUACUAUAAUUUGACAAAGAAAAUUUAGCGUCUUUACAAUUAUAAUAGCUAAGAUUUAGUGAUUUUACUGUUAUAGUUACUUAAUUAUGACAAAUUAUAAUUUAGUUACUUAAUUACAAUGGACAAAGGUGAGUGACCAUAAGCAACAUUAACCAUUUUGUCAGCCUAAAUUUUUAAACUAGUUUCUUUAUGACAAUUUGAUGUUUUAAUCUAUCAGGUUUUUCCAAAGGGUUCUCCUUUAGCAGUUGAUAUCUCCGAAGCUGUUCUUAAACUCUCACAGAGUGGAGAGAUAAAUCAACUAGAAGAACAAAUGCUUAUUUCAACAAAUUGCUCUUCUUCAUCAGCUGAGGAGCAGCUUUUUGGAUUAGGACAAGAGUUGUUCUCUGGUCCAGUACUGAUUUCAGGUAUUAUAUGUGGAAUUGUAUUUUUGAUCUCAAUCGCUCGUUUAGUCAGAAAACACUGGCUAUAUUUAAGCUCUAUAAUUGCAAAUAGUGCAAAUAUAGUUCUUAGAUGGACUUCUCUAGUUAAAAAUUGCAACACUGUGAUUGACCAAAGACCAAAUAUUCAACAGAAUGUUGAAAUUACAGAGGUUGUUUGAUGAACCAGAAACUGGAAAAUCAUGGACAGCAAUUGAUCAGCAGCUACUUUUCUCUUGUCUAAUAAACAAUCUAAUGCUCUUUGUAAAUAUAUUAUUUUCUUCCUUAUACGUAAUUUCUGUAUCAUUCACAUGUACUGUAUAAUCCUAUUUUAGAAAUAAACGCACACACAUAGAGCAAUACAUAUAUAAAUCAGUAAACAAGUCUAACAUUAAGCAGAUUCUGAAAGAGAAGCAAAAUUGAGACCUUACUUUCCAGAAUGAAGAAUCAAACUCGGGUCCUCCUAAUCGACCCAACCCUCUCCAUCUCCAACUUCAUCACCGGACUCCUCCUCACCGGCUGAUAACGUCUCCAACUCCGGCGAAAUCACCGACUGCUUUACCAUUUGCGGAAGAAGAUUAGUAUAAAGAAGUAAGCUGUGGGCUAAUGAAUUAAGGGUGACAAAAGAGUUUCAAAAUAAAGAAAAAGUGACACAAGUUUUAAUUAUUGAGUAUACGUGACAAUUUUAAGAUCGAAAAAGGGUCAUAUUUGCCCUUGUACUCUCAGAAAAGGGUUAUAUUUGCCCUUUGUUAUACUUUUUUGAUAUAUUUGCCCUUGCCAUCCAACUUAAGGUACAUAUUUGCCCUUCAACCGUUAAGUUUCAUAUCUCAAAUUUUAUCAUCCUAUGUGGC
rnacentral:lncRNA from 1 species